UCUCCUCCCUUCUGUGGGAUGGCCUCCUUUGCUCUGGCUGCGAUAAGUUUGUUUUCUUCUCUCUCACACCCUGGGCUACUGCUAUGCUCAGUGUUUUUCUGCUUUGAUACCUGCAUUUAUUUUCUUAUUUCUCUCCUGAGGUCAGCCGCCAUUCUUUCUUCAUCCAAAGCAGGCCUGAAGAGCUCAGCUAUAUGACAGUGCACGUCUUGAAUGGUUCCACCCUCCUCCAGAAGCCACAUGUGUGCCCUCCUACCUCACACCUGCAGUGCAGAUGUCAAGGUGAAGAGUCCACAGGUUUCUGCUAGCUGGGAACCACUUUAUGCCUAAAUUACAUGAGGAUAUGCAGCAGCAACUGGGGAGGUAGCCUGUCAGGACAUGCCUUCAUGUCGGUUUUAUAUAAACAAGAGUUUUAUGGCCUGCUUGAACAGAGUUUCCAUUAUAGAGACCUUUCCUUGAAAUUCCGGCAGCUACAUAUACUGAAUGCUAUCUCUGCCAUCGUGACCGUCUGCUACCUGUGUUGACAAACUCUGUACAUCCUCAGCACAUUAAAAUGGCUCUGGCUAAGAGCACUGAGAUGAGAUCAAGCUGGAGAAACCUCUGACAAAACACAGGCUGGAAUUCCUGCUUCUGAGAGGGAAGAACCUGGUAGAUGAGAGGGAGAUAAGAACAUCUGCCCUUGAAAGUGAAACCAUCUCCUUCUAGAGAGAGUGGUUGGGAAACAGCAGGUGGGAAAUGUUGUUUAAAAACCACCUCCAAGUACCCCAUCCCCUAAGGGGCUCCUGCCACUCAGAUUACAGCCCCUAGCACAAGUUCUUCAGGGAGAGUCACACCUCUCCACUCCUUCAGGUUAGCCAGCCUGCACUGGGGAGUGUUUUAAAUGAUUGGCCUAGAAAUGGUGAAGCUGAAUGAGAAUAGCAGAAAAAAAGGAAAACUUGUAGCAACCAUUUCCAGUCUAUUUGUUUAGUAGCUCUAGAAAGUCACCUGGAAACUCUAGAAAGAGAAAAUACUUUGUGAGGAUUGGGUGGGAACACUUCAGUAACCACUUUGUACCCAUGCAUCUAGUUACAUUCAAUUUAUAUAACAUUUACAGAGCCAGAAAGGAAAGCAGACAUAAGCUUCCUGAGGAUUUAAUAAAGUGUUCAGUAUACACA